rnacentral:rRNA from 1 species
AGAAUCAACGCUGGCGGCGUGCCUAACACAUGCAAGUCGCACGAGAAACGGACUUCGGUCCUGAGUAAAGUGGCGCACGGGUGAGUAACACGUGAAUUAUCUACCUCCGAGUGGGGAAUAACUGGAAGAAAUUUCAGCUAAUACCGCAUAACACUUACGAGUCAAAGCAGUAAUGCGCUUGGAGAGGAGUUUCGCGGCAGAUUAGUUAGUUGGCGGGGUAAUGGCCCACCAAGACGAUGAUCUGUA